rnacentral:rRNA from 1 species
GACGAACGCUGGCGGCGUGCUUAACACAUGCAAGUCGAGCGGUAAGGCCCUUUCGGGGGUACGACGAGCGGCGAACGGGUGAGUAACACGUGGGUGACCUGCCCUCAGCUCUGGGAUAAGCCUGGGAAACUGGGUCUAAUACUGGAUAUGACUCCACGGUGCAUGUCGUGGGGUGGAAAGCCUUGUGCGGCUGAGGAUGGGCCCGCGGCCUAUCAGCUUGUUGGUGGGGUGANGGCCUACCAAGGCGACGACGGGUAGCCGGCCUGAGAGGGCGACCGGCCACACUGGGACUGAGACACGGCCCAGACUCCUACGGGAGGCAGCAGUGGGGAAUCUUGCGCAAUGGGCGAAAGCCUGACGCAGCGACGCCGCGUGAGGGAUGACGGCCUCGGUUGU